rnacentral:rRNA from 1 species
CACCGCGGUUAUACGAAAGACCCAAGUUGAUAGCUCCCGGCGUAAAGUGUGGUUAGGAGACCCUUGAAACUAAAGCCGAAUGACUCCAAAGCUGUUAUACGCACAUGGAGACAAGAAGCCCAGUCACGAAAGUAGCUUUACUCUACCUGAACCCACGAAAGCUAAGACA